AGUGAACGCUGGCGGCAGGCCUAACACAUGCAAGUCGAACGAAGUCUUCGGACUUAGUGGCGGACGGGUGAGUAACACGUGGGAACGUGCCUUUAGGUUCGGAAUAACUCAGGGAAACUUGCGCUAAUACCGAAUGUGCCCUUCGGGGGAAAGAUUUAUCGCCUUUAGAGCGGCCCGCGUCUGAUUAGCGAGUUGGUGAGGUAAAGGCUCACCAAGGCGACGAUCAGUAGCUGGUCUGAGAGGAUGAUCAGCCACAUUGGGACUGAGACACGGCCCAAACUCCUACGGGAGGCAGCAGUGGGGAAUCUUGCGCAAUGGGCGAAAGCCUGACGCAGCCAUGCCGCGUGAAUGAUGAAGGUCUUAGGAUUGUAAAAUUCUUUCACCGGGGACGAUAAUGACGGUACCCGGAGAAGAAGCCCCGGCUAACUUCGUGCCAGCCGCCGCCGUAAAAC
rnacentral:rRNA from 1 species